UUGACUUCUCUUCGAAGAGAAGUCAUCUCGCUUCUCAUGAUGUGAUAAUUUCAGGAGAGUGAAAGGGUUGUAACAAGGGAAGAAUGAAGAGAUCUAGCUUAAAGACAUAGAUGUUCGUUUCUUGAAUAUAGCACAAAAACUAGAGAGAACGUCAAUCAAUGCUUCAAGGAGCUUAUAUAGAAGGUAAGCCGUCCUGAAAAAAAAAAAAAAAAAAAAAAAAAAAAAAAAAAAAAAAAACCGAAAACUGAAAACCGAAAACCGAAAACCGAAACCCAAAAUUUGAAAACCGAAAAACCGAACCGAACCGAACCGAAC
rnacentral:lncRNA from 1 species